UGCAAGUCGAGGGGCAGCAUGGUCUUAGCUUGCUAAGACUGAUGGCGACCGGCGCACGGGUGAGUAACACGUAUCCAACCUGCCGUCUACUCUUGGACAGCCUUCUGAAAGGAAGAUUAAUACAAGAUGGCAUCAUGAGUCCGCAUGUUCACAUGAUUAAAGGUAUUCCGGUAGACGAUGGGGAUGCGUUCCAUUAGAUAGUAGGCGGGGUAACGGCCCACCUAGUCUUCGAUGGAUAGGGGUUCUGAGAGGAAGGUCCCCCACAUUGGAACUGAGACACGGUCCAAACUCCUACGGGAGGCAGCAGUGAGGAAUAUUGGUCAAUGGGCGAGAGCCUGAACCAGCCAAGUAGCGUGAAGGAUGACUGCCCUAUGGGUUGUAAACUUCUUUUAUAAAGGAAUAAAGUCGGGUAUGGAUACCCGUUUGCAUGUACUUUAUGAAUAAGGAUCGGCUAACUCCGUGCCAGCAGCCGCGGUAAUACGGAGGAUCCGAGCGUUAUCCGGAUUUAUUGGGUUUAAAGGGAGCGUAGAUGGAUGUUUAAGUCAGUUGUGAAAGUUUGCGGCUCAACCGUAAAAUUGCAGUUGAUACUGGAUAUCUUGAGUGCAGUUGAGGCAGGCGGAAUUCGUGGUGUAGCGGUGAAAUGCUUAGAUAUCACGAAGAACUCCGAUUGCGAAGGCAGCCUGCUAAGCUGCAACUGACAUUGAGGCUCGAAAGUGUGGGUAUCAAACAGGAUUAGAUACCCUGGUAGUCCACACGGUAAACGAUGAAUACUCGCUGUUUGCGAUAUACUGCAAGCGGCCAAGCGAAAGCGUUAAGUAUUCCACCUGGGGAGUACGCCGGCAACGGUGAAACUCAAAGGA
rnacentral:rRNA from 1 species